rnacentral:rRNA from 1 species
AUUGAACGCUGGCGGCAUGCUUUACACAUGCAAGUCGAACGGCAGCGCGGGCUUCGGCCUGGCGGCGAGUGGCGAACGGGUGAGUAAUGCAUCGGAACGUGCCCAGAAGUGGGGGAUAGCCCGGCGAAAGCCGGAUUAAUACCGCAUACGACCUGAGGGUGAAAGCGGGGGACCGAAAGGCCUCGCGCUAUUGGAGCGGCCGAUGUCGGAUGAGCUAGUUGGUGGGGUAAAGGCUUACCAAGGCGACGAUCCGUAGCUGGUCUGAGAGGACGACCAGCCACACUGGGACUGAGACACGGCCCAGACUCCGACGGGAGGCAGCAGUGGGGAAUUUUGGACAAGGGGGGCAACCCUGAUCCAGCCAUGCCGCGGGCGGGAAGAAGGCCUUCGGGUUGGAAACCGCUUUUGCUCUGGAAGAAAUCCUCUGGGCUAAUACCCCGGGGGGAUGACGGUACCGGAAGAAUAAGCACCGGCUAACUACGUG